rnacentral:rRNA from 1 species
UACGUAGGGUGCAAGCGUUUAAUCGGAAUUACUGGGCGUAAAGCGUGCGCAGGCGGUUUUUGUAAGUCUGUCGUGAAAGCCCCGGGCUCAACCUGGGAAUUGCGAUGGAGACUGCAAGGCUUGAAUCUGGCAGAGGGGGGUAGAAUUCCACGUGUAGCAGUGAAAUGCGUAGAGAUGUGGAGGAACACCGAUGGCGAAGGCAGCCCCCUGGGUCAAGAUUGACGCUCAUGCACGAAAGCGUGGGGAGCAAACAGG